CAAUGGAAGAUUUGAAAGCAACUAACUCGGAGCUCGAAGCGUAUUGUAUUAGAAAGCGUUGCACAGGUUUAAGUGUGUAAAUAUUGAGCGGGUGUUUGCCAUGCAUCCGCUGAUAAGAUAAACAAAACCACUUAAACCACAAUGUGACACAAGCUCAUCAAAAUGUGGCAUAUAAACAUAUCAGGCACUUUUGGGAUGAUAAUGUCGUUUUAUUGCGUGGUCAUAAAUACACAAGUAUGUAUUUAAUUGCAAUAGUACAUUUAAAAAUCCACUAUCAACGCAGAGAAUACAUUUAAUGCCCACAACUGCUUUUUGGGGGGUGCCAUUACGCACCUGCCCUGACGUAAACAAAUCAUUUCUAAGAGCUAAGCGAUAACAAGACGUAAUUUGAAGUCAAAAAGUCAGCACCAACAGUCAUUACUCAAUUUAACACCUCAAGUGCUGUUAGCUGCCGGCCACUUUGAGAUGGAUACCAAUACAUUUAUACAUGAGAUUGCAUAUAUGUAUGUCUCUAUAUAUUCAAAUAAGUACACUUAUAAUAAAGUGGACAAAUGUUGAAACUGAUAAGCUGCGCUAAUAGAAGCACAUAGUACCUAAUUAAAACAUGUAAUUUCUACAUAGCUAUGAAGACCAAAAGAGAGAGAAAGAGUAAACAGUACCCACGGUGCUAAGUUACUGAUAAGGCAGCAUCUUCGAUCGCAGCUAUGGCCGCACAUACUAACAACAGGCAUAUUUUAAGGUAUCUUGGAAAUUACUGAAAAGGCUGAAUUUCUAUCUCGUGAUGAUUGUAGGAACAUGUAAAAAUGCAACUAACAGCCAAUCGCGGAAAGCACAUCGAUUGCGGAGAUAAAAUACAAUGAAAAGGCUAACUAGGAUAAAGAGCAACACUUGCGGAGCACUUCCCAUAAAAUACGUAUCACUAAAUUAUUGUAUGUCAACGUGAAGUGUAGCGAACAAAACUAUUGUUUCAAUAAAUAUUUUAUACAAUUGU